AGCGAUAGAAAGGUAAAUAUGAGAAAGGAAAAGGGCAAAAGAGGAAAAAGAAUUUAGUAGGGCAAAAAAGAUGAGUGUAUAAAAAUAAAAUUAGAAGAGAGAAAAGAGAAAAUAGCGUCCGAGGCCGAGCGCUUACCCCAUGAGUGAAAGGGGAAGCGUGGUAUUCCACAGAGAGAAGGUUCCGUUAACACCGUGGCGCAUGAUAGUGUGACGGGCGUAUAUUAAACAGGGUUUCCCAUGGCCGCUUUACUGCUCUAGUUUAUGCAGCUAAAUUUUAGGUGACUGAGAGUGAUUCGAAGGAGAAGACGAGUGCCGAAAGUGGUGACGACGAGGAUGGUGAUUUGGUCCGGAGAAGCCAAAAGUGAAUCACUGUCCUCAUCUUCGCCACUGCCGACACUCAGUUUUCUAACAGUAAAUUGAGGAUCAUUAGGGUUUCCACUUGCCUAGCUGAAGUUGAGAUAAAGGAAUUCCAGAAGAUAAUUUAAUUUAGUUUUUACUACUCCAUAAUUUAAGUUUGAUUUUACAAGUUAUUUGUAAUAAUUUUAGUUUAAAUUCAUUCGUUACUUUAAAUUAAAUAAACUUUAGAAUUGCAUUAA